rnacentral:rRNA from 1 species
GCUGGAUGCUCCAACUUGACGCAUGUCUUGUUGGGAAAGUGUUAUGGCAUGGGAUGGGGUCGCGUCCUAUCAGCUUGUAGCGGGGUAAUGGCCCACCUAGGCUUCGACGGGUAGCCGGCCUGAGAGGGCGGACGGCCACAUUGGGACUGAGAUACGGCCCAGACUCCUACGGGAGGCAGCAGUGGGGAAUAUUGCGCAAUGGGGGAAACCCUGACGCAGCGACGCCGCGUGCGGGAUGAAGGCCUUCGGGUUGUAAACCGCUUUUGAUUGGGAGCAAGCCUUUGGGUGAGUGUACCUUUCGAAUAAGCGCCGGCUAACUACGUGCCAGCAGCCGCGGUAAAU